rnacentral:lncRNA from 1 species
GAAAGGUGUCCGAGCCUCGUGCAGUGACAGGGCUGACAGAGAGGGAGGCGGAGAGCACGUGCUCCCCAGACCUGGCGCCUCAACUCUGCGCUUGCGCAGUCAGCAAAACACUUUGGCGCCCAUAGACCCCACUCAGUCCGCCUGGAUCUGCACGUGCCCCGCCUCCAUACAGCAGAGUGCGCACGUGCCCUGCCUCCUCAGGAAAAGGACUUUCUGAUAAAGUUGAGAGAAAUUCGGUGAGCAGCACCAACGGGAUUGGCAGCAGAGAACUGGAAAGGAGAGGAUGCCCAUGGGUGGGGAAUGGCGGAAAAACAUGGCAGAAGGCUGCAGAGCCGGAAGAAAUGGCGACCACGAAUUGGGGAAAGCCUGAACUGAUGCAGAGUGAAGAGGGCAGAACCAGGAAAGCAGCGUAUACAGUAACAGGAAGUGAUCCUCAGGAGCAAAGACCCGGGAUAAAGAGCCAAAGAGGGAACUGGCACGACCCAUGUCAAAGCAGGCCACCUUCUGCUCCAUUUCCUUCGGGACUUCUCUGCCAUAUUGUGCCUGGUCUUUAGUCACCACACUGGAAAUAUGGAAAUGUGUAUUUUGCUGGUACAACCUAUGUUGGACUGUUGGGGGGGGGGGGAUCUGCACCAUCAUAAAAUGUCAGGAAACAGCUGUCAAAAAUUGUCUCUACAUGUCAUUGGAAAAAUAAAAUUUAAUUUAAAAAAGAGACCCUCA